rnacentral:rRNA from 1 species
CGAGCUUAAGCCGAUAGGUGUAGGCGUAGCGAAAGCGAGUCUGAAUAGGGCGACAUAGUUGCAUGGAUUAGACCCGAAACCCGGUGAUCUAGCCAUGGGCAGGUUGAAGGUGCAGUAACAUGCACUGGAGGACCGAACCCACUAAUGUUGAAAUAUUAGGGGAUGACCUGUGGCUAGGGGUGAAAAGGCCAAUCAAACCGGGUAAUAGCUGGUUCUCCGCGAAAACUAUUUAGGUAGUACGUCGUGUGAAUACCUACGGGGGUAGAGCACUGGAUGGGCUAGGGGGAUGCGAAUCUUACCAAACCUAACCAAACUCCGAAUACCGUAGAGUACUGCACGGCCAGACAGUCCAUGGGUGCUAAGGUCCGUGGACGAGAGGGAAAAAGCCCAGACCGCCAGCUAAGGUCCCCAAAUGAUGAUUAAGUGUGAAAAGGAAGUGGGAAGGCCAAGACAGCCAGGAGGUUGGCUUAGAAGCAGCCAUCCUUUAAAGAAAGCGUAAUAGCUCACUGGUCUAGUUAAGCCGUCCUGCGCCGAAAAUGUAACGGGGC